CGGUGACACCGACAGGAAUAGCUGCCUAACAUCCGGUUUUAACCGGAAGAGACGCCUACAUCUCCCAAACGAGGUUUACAAUAAACACUGGAAUUGUGCCUUUUUUAAGAAGUACAAUAUCACGGGAUUUAAUUGUCAUUAACAUAUUUUUCAAAAUAUGCAGCUUAAAAUGGACCAGGGUGGGAUGUGGAACUAUAUCGUUACGAUGUUUCAUACCGGCUUCAUUUACCCGAUGAACGAGAUGCGUUGAAUUGGCAACAAAGAGCAUUUCAGGCGGGUGGAGUUUCAUCAAGCUCUGUUAUUCUGGCCAACCGCUCGAACGUCGUAGUGGUGACGGACAACGUCGAGUUUACAAACAAGCGCACUAACGGAAAUGUUUAACUAACGACGUUCUUUAGGUCUUUACGGUUGGUUUACCACGAUGUUGCCACUAAGACUUCGUUAAAUAUCAAGGAAAGGACUCUCAGCUGAGAGCAGAUCUCUUCUUUCAGUGAAAGUAGACUUACCUAUAGGACGCGCCUCUGCUUGGACUCGGAUUCCAGCGUUUGCUAGGUCUCUGUUGACAUCAGUUGUGCUGUUAAUCAGGCAACAUGUCAGAGUCCGGCCACAGUCAGCCCGGGAUGUAUGGGCAGGGACGCAGGAGGAGGCGACGCCGGGGGGACAGAGACGUUGGACCCCCGGGGCAAAAUCUGUCUGGUCCCAGCCGGGAUCGAGAAUACCAACCGAGGGAACGAAGGGAUGGGAGCGAGGAUCCACCAGGUCCACUCAUUCAGAAGACCCCCAUCAUACUUGCAAAGCCCCCUGGGGAGAGGGCCAAGCCAUCGCUGAAUGCACCUGUCACUGGAGCUCCAGUCCUGGAGAAGCCCAUCAUGCUUAUGAAAGCCAGGGAUGAUGGAGCGAAGACGGGGACCCCUCCAGAGUCGACAGCUCAGCCUUCUGGCUCCGGGCCCUCCAAGAUAGAGAGAGAAGGGCAGCGACCUACGCAGCCCGUGUACCAGAUCCAAAACCGAGGAAUGGGUGCUUCUGCAUCUAGCAGUGCUGUAGACCCUAUGGUUGGCCAGUCUAAACUCCUCCCUCCAGAGAAGAUGAAACAUAGCAUCAAGCUAGUGGAUGAUCAGAUGAACUGGUGUGAUAGUGCCAUGGAGUAUCUGAGGGACCAGACAGAUAUGUUGGUGGUGGGAGUCAUUGGCCUUCAGGGAACGGGGAAAUCUACAGUCAUGUCACUGUUAUCUGCCAAUACCCCCGAAGAAGAUCAGAGGAGUUAUGUAUUCAGAGCCCAGACUCAAGAAAUCAAGGAAAGAGGAGGGAACCAGAGCACAGGGAUCGAUUUCUUCAUCACACAGGAAAGAGUCAUCUUCUUGGAUACACAGCCGAUGCUCAGCCCGUCUAUUCUGGACCACCUCAUCAACAAUGACCGGAAGUUGCCUCCAGAGUACAAUCUCCCACACACAUACGUUGAGAUGCAGUCUCUUCAGAUUGCUGCCUUCCUGUUUACUGUGUGCCAUGUGAUCAUUGUGGUUCAAGACUGGUUUACUGACUUAAGCCUCUACAGGUUUCUUCAGACUGCUGAGAUGCUGAAGCCUUCCACUCCGUCAGCAAGCCAUGACAGCGCUGGCUCUUCAGGCAAUGAUGAUGGCGCAGAGUACUAUCCUCAUAUAGUGUUUCUCCAGAACAAGGCUAAGCGAGAUGAUUUCUGCCCAAGGAAUCUGAAGAACAUGCAUAUGGUGGUGGAUAAAUUAAUGGCCCACUCCCAUCUCAAAUACAAAGGAACGUUGUCCAUGCUGGACUGCAAUAUCUUCCCUGGCCUGGGACCGGACUAUCUGUCACCUGAAGUCAACAUGUUCCUACUUCCUGUGCAGGAGAGUGAUGGGGAGGAUAAUCUGACUAAAGCAGGGCCAGGAACGUACCCGCUCUUCUCCCUGCUCCCGGGAUACAAAGGACACGCCUCUUUCUCCACUAUGGUUUCAAAACUUCGCAGCCAAAUACUGACCAUGCCCCGCUGUCAGUUGUCACACACCAUCCUCACUGAGAAGAACUGGUUUCACUAUGCAGCUCGUAUCUGGGAUGGGGUGAAAAAGUCCUCGGCGCUGUCAGAAUACAGCCGCCUGCUCAGCUAACACCCUGCUGCCACAUGCAACAGUGUCGCAAACUCUUACUGUAUAUCCAGUUAUCAGGUCACAUAAAGAGAAAUGUGGUCCUGAAGUGGGGACCCGUCGUUUGCACCCUACAGGAGGGACGAUUGAAACUGGAAGCGCGUCACCAGCGUCGAAGAAUCGGGGCACAAUGCAGAAUGACACCACCUUCUGUAGACCAUGGAGGGCAUUAAAACCUGCAGACUCUUGGUGCACUGAAAGUUAGAAAGUUGCCCGUCACUGCCCUCAGGAAAUGUCAUGUUCAACAGACACCGCACACCCUGUACAGGAGUGUUCGAUAAGGGUGUGUUGCACUCUUCUGGACUGUGUUAAUCUCCACAUACAUCCUUUCACAAGACAGAUUUAGUACAGAGUAAGUCACUUUUCAUUUCUCCAAAAAGAUCCCACAAACCCUCCUUACUUUGAACUUACAACAGUUUAACCACGAUCUUCUAAUUUGUAAUGGCACAAAUUUAACUUUGUUGUUGGUGCACAUGGAACAAAGCCAACAUGAACAAGCCACAGAGGAAACUCAACAUGCAGUGAUAAAUUAUGAGUUAAUCUAUGUUAAGACAUAAGAAAUAUGUCAACACUGAGGUAACACUCACACGAGCAGAUGAAUGCUCUGUCAAGACUGAGCAUUUAAGUGGAUUAUUGGAUUAUGUGUGAUUAGUCAGGAAUAUAUUGAUAUCUUCUCAUAUAUAUUCACAGUUGUUGCUCCAAAGAUCUAAUGAAGAUGUUUUGGAGAACGUUUGGCCAACAACAAUUUCAAGACUGCCAAUUGGAACCCUUAUCUUUGUGUGGGGGGCAUCCAGAUGGCUGGGAUUUAAUGUUUAAAACUAUGAUGGAAAAACUGAGUAAAAGUCUUAUUUUGUAUUUCAUUGGUCCUGCCACAAGUCUUGCAUAAAUACAUACAUACAUACAUGCAUGUAGAGUAUACAUACAUAC